ensembl:misc_RNA Metazoa_SRP Metazoan signal recognition particle RNA
GCCGGGCACGGUGGCGCAUGCCUACAAUCCCAGCUAUUCAGGAGGCUGAGGUGGGAGGAUCGCUUGAGCCCAGGAGUUCUGGGCUGUAGUGUGCUAUGCCGAUCGGGUGUCCGCACUAAGUUCGGCAUCAAUAUGGUGACCUCUCGGGAGUGGAGGACCACCAGGUUGCCUAAGGAGUGGGGAAUCGGCCCAGGUCAUAAACGGAGCAAGUCAAAACUCCCCUGCUGAUUAGUAGUGGGAUCACACCUGUGAAUAGUCACUGCACUCCAGCCUGGGCAACAUAGCAAAACCCCGUCUCU